CCUACGGGUGGCAGCAGUGAGGAAUAUUGGUCAAUGGGCUUACGCCUGAACCAGCCAAGUCGCGUGAGGGAAGACUGCCCUAUGGGUUGUAAACCUCUUUUGUCAGGGAGCAACGCCGGCUACGUGUAGCCGGACUGAGUACCUGAAGAAAAAGCAUCGGCUAACUCCGUGCCAGCAGCCGCGGUAAUACGGAGGAUGCGAGCGUUAUCCGGAUUUAUUGGGUUUAAAGGGUGCGUAGGCGGAAUGUCAAGUCAGCGGUAAAAUCGCGGGGCUCAACCUCGCUCCGCCGUUGAAACUGUGUCCCUUGAGUGCGCGAAGGGUAGGCGGAAUGCGUGGUGUAGCGGUGAAAUGCAUAGAUAUCACGCAGAACUCCGAUCGCGAAGGCAGCCUACCGGCGCGCAACUGACGCUCAUGCACGAAAGCGUGGGUAUCGAACAGGAUUAGAUACCCCUGUAGUC
rnacentral:rRNA from 1 species